GAACGCUGGCGGCAUGCCUUACACAUGCAAGUCGAACGGCAGCACGGGUGCUUGCACCUGGUGGCGAGUGGCGAACGGGUGAGUAAUAGUAUCGGAACGUACCUUAGUCGUGGGGGAUAACGCAGCGAAAGCUGCGCUAAUACCGCAUACGCCCUGAGGGGAAANCGGGGGACCGUAAGGCCUCGCGCGAUUAGAGCGGCCGAUAUCUGAUUAGCUUGUUGGUGGGGUAAAAAGCCCACCAAGGCGACGAUCAGUAGCUGGUCUGAGAGGACGAUCAGCCACACUGGGACCGAGACACGGCCCAGACUCCUACGGGAGGCAGCAGUGGGGAAUUUUGGACAAUGGGGGCAACCCUGAUCCAGCAAUGCCGCGUGAGUGAAGAAGGCCUUCGGGUUGUAAAGCUCUUUUGUCAGGGAAGAAACAGCAGCUCUAACACGGUCUGCGAAUGACGGUACCUGAAGAAUAAGCACCGGCUAACUACGUG
rnacentral:rRNA from 1 species